rnacentral:rRNA from 1 species
ACAAUGAAGAGUUUGAUCCUGGCUCAGGAUGAACGCUAGCUACAGGCUUAACACAUGCAAGUCGAGGGGCAUCAGGAAGAAAGCUUGCUUUCUUUGCUGGCGACCGGCGCACGGGUGAGUAACACGUAUCCAACCUGCCCUUUACUCGGGGAUAGCCUUUCGAAAGAAAGAUUAAUACCCGAUAGCAUAAUGAUUCCGCAUGGUUUCAUUAUUAAAGGAUUCCGGUAAAGGAUGGGGAUGCGUUCCAUUAGGUUGUUGGUGAGGUAACGGCCCACCAAGCCUUCGAUGGAUAGGGGUUCUGAGAGGAAGGUCCCCCACAUUGGAACUGAGACACGGUCCAAACUCCUACGGGAGGCAGCAGUGAGGAAUAUUGGUCAAUGGGCGCUAGCCUGAACCAGCCAAGUAGCGUGAAGGAUGAAGGCUCUAUGGGUCGUAAACUUCUUUUAUAUAAGAAUAAAGUGCAGUAUGUAUACUGUUUUGUAUGUAUUAUAUGAAUAAGGAUCGGCUAACUCCGUGCCAGCAGCCGCGGUAAUACGGAGGAUCCGAGCGUUAUCCGGAUUUAUUGGGUUUAAAGGGAGCGUAGGUGGACUGGUAAGUCAGUUGUGAAAGUUUGCGGCUCAACCGUAAAAUUGCAGUUGAUACUGUCAGUCUUGAGUACAGUAGAGGUGGGCGGAAUUCGUGGUGUAGCGGUGAAAUGCUUAGAUAUCACGAAGAACUCCGAUUGCGAAGGCAGCUCACUGGACUGCAACUGACACUGAUGCUCGAAAGUGUGGGUAUCAAACAGGAUUAGAUACCCUGGUAGUCCACACAGUAAACGAUGAAUACUCGCUGUUUGCGAUAUACAGUAAGCGGCCAAGCGAAAGCAUUAAGUAUUCCACUUGUAGGAGUACGCCGGCAACGGUGAAACUCAAAGGAAUUGACGGGGGCCCGCACAAGCGGAGGAACAUGUGGUUUAAUUCGAUGAUACGCGAGGAACCUUACCCGGGCUUAAAUUGCAGUGGAAUGAUGUGGAAACAUGUCAGUGAGCAAUCACCGCUGUGAAGGUGCUGCAUGGUUGUCGUCAGCUCGUGCCGUGAGGUGUCGGCUUAAGUGCCAUAACGAGCGCAACCCUUAUCUUUAGUUACUAACAGGUUAUGCUGAGGACUCUAGAGAGACUGCCGUCGUAAGAUGUGAGGAAGGUGGGGAUGACGUCAAAUCAGCACGGCCCUUACGUCCGGGGCUACACACGUGUUACAAUGGGGGGUACAGAAGGCAGCUAGCGGGUGACCGUAUGCUAAUCCCAAAAGCCUCUCUCAGUUCGGAUCGAAGUCUGCAACCCGACUUCGUGAAGCUGGAUUCGCUAGUAAUCGCGCAUCAGCCACGGCGCGGUGAAUACGUUCCCGGGCCUUGUACACACCGCCCGUCAAGCCAUGGGAGCCGGGGGUACCUGAAGUACGUAACCGCAAGGAUCGUCCUAGGGUAAAACUGGUGACUGGGGCUAAGUCGUAACAAGGUAGCCGUACCGGAAGGUGCGGCUGGAACACCUCCUUU